rnacentral:lncRNA from 1 species
UACACAGUCGGAUUGUGAAGCUCCAACGAAAGCGUCGGCCGGCGUGUGCCUUCCACCUGUAUACAAACGUGAAGCAUGGGUGCAGUGUGUUGCUGAGGAGAGCGGCAACGGUGUCUUCCCAGCAGCAGGAGCACAGGUAAGAGGGAGGUUUUGACUCUUCUGAGAACAAGGUACUUUCUUUUCCGGAGGUAAUGCAGAAGUCACGCUCCCGUAUCCCCAGUGCUGAAAUGCAGUGCGAUGCUGCAGUCUUGCUGGGGAUUCCUUUCCCCACGGUCUGUCUGUCUGUGUUCUCACUUGCUCAGGUUUCUGCGCCGGAGAGAGAAGAGCUUCAGCUAAAGAAGGAUGCUUCAUGUCAAACUGACUUUCAAGGCGUCAGACAGACAUGGGUCAAGCAGCCGUGGCAGGAGCUUGCCAACCCUCUCAAAAGGAGCUCCCUCACAGAAGCUUCACCUGAAGCUGUGAAUAGCUACAGCGUGUACCU